GAAGAAGAAGAAGAAGAAGAACGACAGUAAGAGGAAAGAAGAAAAUACGGAAACGGAGGGAGGAGCUGUUGUGUUGGUUGAGAUAUUAUAGUUGAAAGUGGGUAACUGUAUCUCGAAAGUAUGAGCUGGACUGAAUUGGUAGGUGCUUGAUAUCUGUGUACUGUGCGUUGGCGUUGGCAGUGGCACCACCUCGAUGCUCUAUAUUUUCU
rnacentral:misc_RNA from 1 species